rnacentral:misc_RNA from 1 species
AAGUCGUAACAAGGUUUCCGUAGGUGAACCUGCGGAAGGAUCAUUACCAAAUCCAAAAAACUUUAUCAACACCCCAAUGUGAACUAUGAAUGGUUUCGUUCCCUCGAACAGACUUCUGGAUCUUGCUAAAAACAAAGUUCGGAGCUGCGAGAGGGAAUGUUAUAAUUUUCAACCCCUUUACAACUAUACAACUAUUAUUUAUGCUGAAAGCAAAAACAAACGAAACAUGAGACAACUUUUAACGGUGGAUCUCUUGGCUCGU